CGCGGCUCGAGCUGCAGCGGGCCGGCCCCGGGGGGAGGGGGGCGGCGGGGAGUCCGACGCUCAGCACCCCCCGCCGCCGCCGCCGCCGCCAGCGGUCCCCUGGCCACAGCAGCCCGAAUACAACUAGUGCCCUCGGUUUUAUUUAUUCACGAGAGAGAGAGAGAAGCAGAGACACAGGCAGAGGGAGAAGCAGGCUCCACGCAGGGAGCCCGAUGCAAGACUCGAUCUCGGGUCUCCAGGAUCACGCCCUGGGCCGAAGGCGGGCGCUAAACCGCUGCGCCACCCGGGCAUCCCCACUUACUCAUUUUGUAACUCUAUGAAUCUAUGUGAAGAGAAUCCUCUUUCUGUGAAAACUGGCUUCAAAAGAAACCUGUGAACAGCUGCUUACUAGAUGCAACCCUCACCCCCCCUCCGUGGAAAUCUUGGGGAGUCUGCAGUUCCCCACAGUAGGACUGUCCGUGUAUUGGAACGUCAACCCCAAUAGUUGAAGAUACGCACGCCCUUCUGCACAGCUCAGAAGAUUCUCUCUUGAGAACCAUUGUACACCCAGUAGAACUGGAAGAACAUGAUGAUGUCUGGAGGAGCUACCCACUGUAGAAGGAUCGGCAAAUGAUCACAGAGAUCUGCAAAUGGUCCUACCUAGUAGCCACCUCAGACUCCCACUUUGUCAGACAGUCGUGGCAAGUGGACACAAGAGGAAGAAAUGUCUGAGCUUGAGUGACUCCUCUGGACAGGGUCCUGGAAACAAUAAAGCUGCCUUUUCAAGUUCUAAAUGUUCUGUGUAUGUUCUUCAGUUGACAGACUAGCCCCACCUCCAGUCUUAAUAUUGGAGUACAGGAGGCCAAGCUAAACAAAGAAAAGUGUGACAAGAGUGAGAUCCCAAAGAAAUGGUCUACAAAAAUGCAAGAGGUGCCUGGGUGGCUCAGUCAGUCAAGUAUGUGACUCUUGAUUUCAGCUCAAGUCAUGAUCUCAUGGGUUGUGGAUUGAGCCCCGCAUGGGGCUCUGCGCUCAACGUGGAGUCCCCU